rnacentral:lncRNA from 1 species
GAAACUUUGCGGCUGGCCCCCGUGUCCCAAAAAUAGGCCGCGGGCACAGCCGCGCCCAAAAAUAACAGCCUGAAGGCCGGGGCGUCAAGUUCUUCCAGCGGAAAAAGGCCACAAAAAUUGGUUGGCUAUAGCCUGGGGGGGUGGGGCUGGCCCACUUCGUCCGCCGGACUUGGAAUGGCAUGAGACUUUGCGAGCGGCCUCCGUGUGCCAAAAAUAGGCGGCGGGCACAGCCGCGCCCAAAAGUAACCGCCCGAAGGCCGGGGCGCCAUGUUCGUCCAGCGGAAAAGUGCCACAAAAACGGGUGGGCUAUAGCCUUGGGGGGUGGGGCUGGCCAAUUUCGUCCGCCGGACUCGGAAUGGUGUGAGACCUUGUGAGCGGCCUCCGUGUGCCAAAAAUAGGCCACGGGCACAGCCGUUCCCAAAAAUAACCGCCCGAAGGCCGGGGCGCCAAGUUCGUCCAGCGGAAAAAGCCCUCAAAAACGGGUGGGCUAUAGCCUUGGGGGGUGGGGCUGGCCAACUCCGUCCGCCGGACUCGGAAUGGCGCGAGACUU